GACGAACGCUGGCGGCGUGCUUAACACAUGCAAGUCGAACGGAAAGGCCCUGCUUGCAGGGUACUCGAGUGGCGAACGGGCGAGUAACACGUGGGUGAUCUGCCCUGCACUUCGGGAUAAGCCUGGGAAACUGGGUCUAAUACCGGAUAGGAGCCAUUUUUAGUGUGAUGGUUGGAAAGUUUUUUCGGUGUAGGAUGAGCUCGCGGCCUAUCAGCUUGUUGGUGGGGUAAUGGCCUACCAAGGCGGCGACGGGUAGCCGGCCUGUGAGGGUGGACGGCCACAUUGGGACUGAGAGACGGCCCAGACUCCUACGGGAGGCAGCAGUGGGGAAUAUUGCACAAGGGGCGCAAGCCGGAUGCAGCGGCGCCGCGGGGGGGAUGACGGCCUUCGGGUUAUAGACUCCUUUCGCUAGGGACGAAGCUUUUUGUGACGGUACCUAGAUAAGAAGCACCGGCUAACUACGUG
rnacentral:rRNA from 1 species